CUCACUGAAUCCAUCCUUCAUUCGCUGACCCAGCACCUGGGGUGUCCGCCGUGGGCGGGCACUAAGAUGAACUGGGCCUGGCCUCUGUUGGCCAAGCUGCUGGGGGAGAAGCCUGCAAAGUGCCUCGCUUGGGCUCCAUGGGGGAUGAGAUCAACAGAUCCUUUGCCAGAUGCAGAAAAUCCUGCAUUCACAAAAGGCCCCCAGAAAGCAUUUUCUGUGAGUGUGCUGGGAGGCCGCUCAGGCCCAUGCAGAAUGCUAUCUGUAAGAGGCUUCUCUGUGGCCAUGAGCCACUUGGCAUGACAGCUCUCCAUUCCGAGGUGUCCUCCACAGCUGGAGUCAGGAGCACAAGCUUGGCUCAAGAACAUAGACUCUGGGCAAGGUGCUGGUGAGAACAGCAGAGCCAGCUGGAGGCCCUGGGAGGAAUUUCAUCUGGAAGGAAGCAUGAUGUGUCCAGAGGGCAGCGGGGUCUGGUGGAGUCAGUGCUGGCGAGGGUGUGUGUAUAGUGGCAAGACUCUAGACCAGGGUGCAAAUUCAGGCCAGCAGAUGGAGAGGCUGGAGCUUCCUGGGACUGAACCAGCAGGCAGGAGUCAGUCCAGGGAGACAUCAAGUUAUGAUCUGAACAUGCUGUGUUGAAUUCGAUCACAGUGAGACAUCAAGUUAUGAUCUGGAUCUGGCCUUCCCUGUAGUCCUGCCUCAUUGAGGGGGACCAGGUCAUUCCCCUGCUCCUGCUCCAGCUCUGGAUCUGCUUUAUUCUAUCACCCCAUAAACCGCCCUCCAGAUCCCUGGAAUCCACAGAAGAAGAUUUUACUGGUAUAGCCAAGUCCUUCCAGCCAGGCCACAACUUUUUUUCAAUGGGUGGGUUUCUGCCUCAUAAAACGCCUUCACGUGUAA